UUCCUGGCCUGGGGUAGCCGGUCCGCCUUGGAAAGGUGCGCACUGUGCGGCCUCGGCCAUCCUUGAGAAGAGCUGUUCUGGCAUUCAGUUGUCGGGGCGGGGAUUCUCGACGUUUACUGUGAAAAAAUCAGAGUGUUCAAAGCAGGCUUACGCCUUGAAUACAUUACCAUGGAAUAAUGAGAUAGGACCUUGGCGGUCUAUUUUGUUGGUUUGCACGCCGAGGUAAUGAUUAAAAGGGACGGUUGGGGUUCUUCCUAUUCAAUUGUCGGAGGUGAAAUUCUUGGAUUUAUGGAAGACGAACUG
rnacentral:rRNA from 1 species